GCCAGCUCUCAUUUGAUAGUUGCAGAGUAUGAACUGGUUCCUACUGGAUGAUGAGGUGGCUAUCCAAUUGAGAACGUUUUCAAACUGGAUUUCAAUUGAUUCAUGGUGAUCUGAAUACCUUUGGCCCUGGAAAGAUUCAGCCUUGUCUGCUAUGUCUGUGGGAACUCGUGGAAACAGAGGGAGCAAAACAUUAGAGGACAAGAGAAUACACAGGUCCAGUGGGAGACAGAAACCCAAUGGUGCCAUCAGCCAUUGGCAAUGCUUAACUGCUGUGUAAAAUGGUGAGGACUUAUGAUGCAGACGGUUGAGCAGUUUAGAGGAAGCAGGACCAAAACAGCUGAGUCAACAUUCCUGGCUAAGAUUGAGCCUGAUCAAAUGAUGACAUUAUCCAAAAGUAUAUGAUUAAGAAGGAUCACGUGAAUUGACCUCACCAUAGUGUCAAAAGAAGAAGAUGAAUUCUUUCAGAUGUCCAACUAUUUCCUCUGAUACUAUUUAAGGAAGCUACUGGCCCUCCAAGGUAAAUCAACACUCAACAGCAAUAUUAAUGCCAGAAAACAUUUCCAGCAAAGCUCACCUGGAAAAUUGAAGAUUUGUCAGAGUUCCAGGGUGGCAGCAAACUGUAACUUUCAUCCUCCAUCAGCAGAUUUCGAAUGCACCAAGUCAACAGUCAUUUAUAAAUCAGAGACUUAUGGGUUUUAAGGGGAAACAGGGUGGAGAUAACCUUCUUUUUACUUGUUUGAAACCAUUGUAAUAAUAAUUUAAUGACCAGAAAGAAAAACUUUUUGUAUUAGACAGUUCGGAUCCAUAAAGGUAAACUGAAAUCAUGAGA